GUGUUCCUACGGGGGGCAGCAGUGAGGAAUAUUGGUCAAUGGGCUUACGCCUGAACCAGCCAAGUCGCGUGAGGGAAGACUGCCCUAUGGGUUGUAAACCUCUUUUGUCAGGGAGCAACGCCGGCUACGUGUAGCCGGGCUGAGAGUACCUGAAGAAAAAGCAUCGGCUAACUCCGUGCCAGCAGCAGCGGUAAUACGGAGGAUGCGAGCGUUAUCCGGAUUUAUUGGGUAUAAAGGGUGCGUAGGCGGACUGCCAAGUCAGCGGUAAAAUCGCGGGGCUCAACCUCGCUCC
rnacentral:rRNA from 1 species